rnacentral:rRNA from 1 species
UACGGAGGAUCCAAGCGUUAUCCGGAUUUAUUGGGUUUAAAGGGUGCGUAGGCGGCCUAUUAAGUCAGGGGUGAAAGACGGUGGCUCAACCAUCGCAGUGCCUUUGAUACUGAUGGGCUUGAUUAAACUUGAGGUAGGCGGAAUGUGACAAGUAGCGGUGAAAUGCAUAGAUAUGUCACAGAACACCGAUUGCGAAGGCAGCUUACUAAGGUUUUAAUGACGCUGAGGCACGAAAGCGUGGGGAUCAAACAGG